rnacentral:rRNA from 1 species
GAUGAACGCUGGCGGCGUGCCUAAUACAUGCCAGUCGAGCGAACAGACGAGGAGCUUGCGCCUCUGACGUUAGCGGCGGACGGGUGAGUAACACGUGGAUAGCCUACUUAUAAUACUGGGAGAACUUCGGGAAACCGGAUCUAAUACCAGCGAAUAUAUUGAACCGGUGAGUGCAAUAGAUAAUGAGGGCUUGGGCGUCAGUAAUAGAUGAUUCCGGGCCGCAUUAGCUAGUUGGUAAGGUAACGGCUAACCAAGGCGACGAUGCGUAGCCGACCUGAGAGGGUGAUCGGCCACACUGGAACUGAGACACGGUCCAGACUCCUACGGGAGGCAGCAGUAGGGAAUCUUCCGCAAUGGGCGAAAGCCUGACGCAGCAACGCCGCGUGAGUGAUGAAGGUCUUCGGAUCGUAAAGCUCUGUUAUUAGGGAAGAAAAAAUGUGUAAGUAACUAUGCCCGUCUUGACGGUACCUAAUCAGAAAGCCACGGCUAACUUCGUG